GCUCCGCCCACAUACCACACACCUUUCCUAGACUCCGCUGAGCAUCUGUACAGGCUUCAGAAACUUACAACUUGGGGGUACAGCAACUCAGAAGAUGGACAUGGCCCUCAGUUCCAGUUUAUAGAUGAGCAUACAGCAUAGAGUAGCUUCCCAAGGCCAUGGAGCUAGAGAGCAGCUGACUGUCCAGCCCUGAAGACCACAGGCUCCCUGCCCCUGCAGCCCCUACUGCCUCCCAUGGUCCCUCCCACACCUGUGCCUGGAGACAUCCCCAAGACUAAUGUGUGAAGUGGACUCUCUUCUCUUGGGAUAUACAAAAUUAUUGGUAUUUUGAAAUUGACAUUCUAUCUAACUUGGGUCCCUUGGAGCACAUCCAAACUUCUAACCAAGGAGGAGAAGAUGAUGACAUGUCCAAGACUGGUGGAAUGUUCUGCCUUUCCAAACUGUGCUUCCCAGCCUGGAUAUCUGAAUCCUGGAUCCUGUCACUGUUCCUUGAUGUUGAAGGAGGAGAGAAGAUCCUUCCACCUGGUUCCAGUGACUCAUGUCCCCAGUGGUAACCCAUCAGGCUGCUCACAGUAGUCCACUCACCAUUCUUUCUGGACAGACUGUGUUACCAUGCCCACUUUGAAUUAGGUGAGGCUAUAGGACUUACUCUGAACAAUUAAAAAUGAGAUAAAAUAAUGCAUGUCA